rnacentral:rRNA from 1 species
UGGGGAAUCUUGGACAAUGGGCGCAAGCCUGACACAGCAACGCCGCGUGAAGGAUGAAGUCCCUCGGGAUGUAAACUUCGUAAGAAUAGGAAGAAUAAAUGACGGUACUAUUUGUAAGGUCCGGCUAACUACGUGCCAGCAGCCGCGGUAAUACGUAGGGACCAAGCGUUGUUCGGAUUUACUGGGCGUAAAGGGUGCGUAGGCGGCAUAUCAAGUCACUUGUGAAAUCUCCGGGCUUAACUCGGAACUGCCAAGUGAUACUGAUGUGCUAGAGUGCAGAAAGGGCAACUGGAAUUCUUGGUGUAGCGGUGAAAUGCGUAGAUAUCAAGAGGAACACCUGAGGCGAAGGCGAGUUGCUAGGCUGACACUGACGCUGAGGUACGAAAGCUAGGGGAGCGAACGGGAUUAGAUACCCUCGUAGUCCCUGAGCGGGCUGGCAAGGCGCAU